rnacentral:rRNA from 1 species
UACGAAGGGGGCUAGCGUUGCUCGGAAUUACUGGGCGUAAAGGGCUUGUAGGUGGCCAACUAAGUCAGACGUGAAAUCCCACGGCUUAACCGAGGAACUGCGUCUGAUACUGGAUGGCUUGAGUGUGGGAGAGGGAUGCGGAAUUCCAGGUGUAGCGGUGAAAUGCGUAGAUAUCUGGAGGAACACCGGUGGCGAAGGCGGCAUCCUGGACCAUGACUGACACUGAAAAGCGAAAGCCAGGGGAGCAAACGGG